rnacentral:rRNA from 1 species
UAGAGUUUGAUCCUGGCUCAGAUUGAACGCUGGCGGCAUGCCUUACACAUGCAAGUCGAACGGCAGCACGGGAGCAAUCCUGGUGGCGAGUGGCGAACGGGUGAGUAAUAUAUCGGAACGUGCCCAGUCGUGGGGGAUAACGUAGCGAAAGCUACGCUAAUACCGCAUACGAUCUACGGAUGAAAGCGGGGGAUCGCAAGACCUCGCGCGAUUGGAGCGGCCGAUAUCAGAUUAGGUAGUUGGUGAGGUAAAGGCUCACCAAGCCGACGAUCUGUAGCUGGUCUGAGAGGACGACCAGCCACACUGGGACUGAGACACGGCCCAGACUCCUACGGGAGGCAGCAGUGGGGAAUUUUGGACAAUGGGCGCAAGCCUGAUCCAGCAAUGCCGCGUGCAGGAUGAAGGCCUUCGGGUUGUAAACUGCUUUUGUACGGAACGAAACGGCGAGCUCUAAUACAGCUUGCUAAUGACGGUACCGUAAGAAUAAGCACCGGCUAACUACGUGCCAGCAGCCGCGGUAAUACGU